UUUGUGGGGCUCUUGAUCUCCAUAUUAGAAACAGGUUAAACUUUGGAUGCCUUAAUGCUACUAUUUGUUCUUAGUUAGUGGCAAAAUGAAAUUUACAGUCUCUUGCAUAUGAUGUGAUUUUAUGUUUAUUGUUUUUAUCUAAAAUAAUUUCUUCUGUUUCAUUUUUCUGAGACAAUUAUGUUGUGGCUUAGCCACAGAUUAAAAUUGAAACAUGAAGUAUACUUCUAUUUUGUUGCUGUGUAAAAGCACAGCUAUAAUCAAAG
rnacentral:misc_RNA from 1 species